rnacentral:rRNA from 1 species
UACGUAGGGGGCUAGCGUUGUCCGGAAUCAUUGGGCGUAAAGCGCGUGUAGGCGGCCCGGUAAGUCCGCUGUGAAAGUCAGGGGCUCAACCCUUGGAAGCCGGCCGAUACUGUCGGACUAGAGUCCGGAAGAGGCGAGUGGAAUUCCCGGUGUAGCGGUGAAAUGCGCAGAUAUCGGGAGGAACACCAAUGGCGAAGGCAGCUCGCUGGGACGGUACUGACGCUGAGGCGCGAAAGCGUGGGGAGCAAACAGG